rnacentral:rRNA from 1 species
UGAAGUCGGAAUCGCUAGUAAUCGCAAAUCAGAAUGUUGCGGUGAAUACGUUCCCGGGCCUUGUACACACCGCCCGUCACACCAUGGGAGUGGGUUGCACCAGAAGUAGAUAGCUUAACCUUCGGGAGGGCGUUUACCACGGUGUGAUUCAUGACUGGGGUGAAGUCGUAACAAGGUAACCCUAGGGGAACCUGGGGUUGGAUCACCUCCUUACCUUAA